rnacentral:rRNA from 1 species
UACAGAGGGUGCGAGCGUUAAUCGGAAUUACUGGGCGUAAAGCGUGCGUAGGUGGUGAGUUAAGUCUGUCGUGAAAGCCCCGGGCUCAACCUGGGAAUGGCGAUGGAUACUGGCUCGCUAGAGUGCGGUAGAGGAGAACGGAAUUCCUGGUGUAGCGGUGAAAUGCGCAGAUAUCAGGAGGAACACCGGUGGCGAAGGCGGAUCUCUGGGCCGUAACUGGACGCUGGAGGAGCGAAAGCAUGGGUAGCGAACAGGA